rnacentral:rRNA from 1 species
UACGGAGGGUGCGAGCGUUGUCCGGAAUCACUGGGCGUAAAGGGCGCGUAGGCGGCGCGAGUAGUCAACGGUGAAAGCCCGGGGCUCAACCCCGGGUCGGCCGUCGAUACUCUCGUGCUUGAGCACUGUAGAGGCAGGUGGAAUUCCGGGUGUAGCGGUGGAAUGCGCAGAUAUCAGGAGGAACACCGAUGGCGAAGGCAGGUCUCUGGGCCGCAACUGACGCUGAGGAGCGAAAGCAUGGGGAGCGAACAGG